UAUUACAUUUUGGCUAAAUUGUGUUUUUUGCCCUUUCAUCACGUUGAAUGUAUGUGAAACAUGUCUCGCACAAGUCCUCACUUGCGAGUAGAACACGUGUCAGUGUAGUGCUCAAUGAAGUGAACACACAGACUCAUCCUUAAAGUCAAGAUGAAUGUGUGAGGGGCUUUUCUACCCUUUCAGAAUGGCCUUUAAGAUGUUGGCAGAUAUUCCCCCACAUGAAAGUAUGGUAUGAAAGUCCAAGGGUGCAUGUGCAGUUUAUCCCAGCAUAGGAUGGGCCCCUGGAAUCUGAGCAGUGUUCUUGAGUCGUUUGCUCAUGCUUGUUGAUUACAAGCCAUAUUAUUCAGAUACAUUUUGUAACAAACUUAAAGUUUCAUGGCAUUAAAUAGGUACAAUGAUUGACGUGCAUUUCUGCAAUUCCUAAGAGGUUCCAACUCCUGUAUUCUUUUAUGUUUGCUAUUGAUAUGAUUUUGUAUUCUGUGAAGUGGUGGUGUUGAUAUUUCUAAAUCUAUUCCUUUUCAUGUCCCCCUGACCUUUUUACUAGUCAAAAUGCAUCGUCAUCUCUACUUUUUGACCGUAUUUGCAUGUGUUUCCUCUUUUAUACGUUUCCAUUACACACACUGUUUUCAUUUCCUUAUUAUAAUUUAACAUGUAAAGUGUCACCAAUAGUGAUACUUAAUCCAUAAUCAAAGUUAUAUAUAUUUCUUUAAAUAUCAUUUAUUUUUUGAAGUAUGUGAGGGACCCCUGAGACCAUAUUAGGAGAGCAUGACAUUCAACAAUGAAUGUAUUGCAUGUGGAUUUGGAAAUGACUAGGAUAGUUUUUAUAGAAAUAAGUUAAAUUAACCUACCAUUUAAACUUAUGAGUAAUAUUUUGUUAUACGGCAGGCUUACAAGUUAAUUUGGCCUACUAUUUACACUUAUAAGUGAUCUUUUCUUCUACGACAGUCCUAACAUUUUUUGUCAUACUUUGACAGUUUCGACUGCUGACUCUGCAGUCAUUUUUCCAUCAUGGGACUCUUCUGAAGAUGACUGCAGUGUCAGCAGUCAAAACUGUCAAGGAACGACAAAACUUUAAGCCUUUCGUAUAAGAAAAUAUCACUUAUAGCCUAGUUUCAUUCAUUUCAAUGAAAUUACAAAUACAGUAAUUUUCCAUGUAUUAGCCACAUUAUGUACUACAUGGUGGUGUUUUAUGCAAAUUA